UGAGGAAUAUUGGUCAAUGGGCGCAAGCCUGAACCAGCCAUCCCGCGUGCAGGAAGACGGCGCUAUGCGUUGUAAACUGCUUUUCCAGGGAGAGAAACUUGCGCACGUGUUGCGCAAUUGACGGUACCCUGGGAAUAAGCAUCGGCUAACUCCGUGCCAGCAGCCGCGGUAAUACGGAGGAUGCGAGCGUUAUCCGGAUUCAUUGGGUUUAAAGGGUGCGUAGGCGGACUAUUAAGUCAGUGGUGAAAUCCCGCAGCUUAACUGCAGAACUGCCAUUGAUACUGAUAGCCUUAAGUUUGGUUAAGGUAGGCGGAAUGUGUAAUGUAGCGGUGAGAUGCUUAGAUAUUACACAGAACACCAAUUGCGUAGGCAGCUUACUGAGCCGACACUGACGCUGAGGCACGAAAGCGUGGGGAUCGAACAG
rnacentral:rRNA from 1 species